rnacentral:rRNA from 1 species
AUUGAACGCUGGCGGCAUGCCUUACACAUGCAAGUCGAACGGCAGCACGGGAGCAAUCCUGGUGGCGAGUGGCGAACGGGUGAGUAAUAUAUCGGAACGUGCCCAGUCGUGGGGAUAACGUAGCGAAAGCUACGCUAAUACCGCAUACGAUCUAUGGAUGAAAGCGGGGGAUCGCAAGACCUCGCGCGAUUGGAGCGGCCGAUAUCAGAUUAGGUAGUUGUGAGGUAAAGGCUCACCAAGCCGACGAUCUGUAGCUGGUCUGAGAGGACGACAGCCACACUGGGACUGAGACACGGCCAGACUCCUACGGGAGGCAGCAGUGGGAAUUUGGACAAUGGGCGNAAGCCUGAUCCAGCAAUGCCGCGUGC